UUUUCCUUCAGUUGGUUCAAUUAUUCUAAACAAUGCCAUCGCCAAAGUUGAUUUUCCUGCCCCGGUGCGACCGACGAUACCGAUCUUUUCCCGUGGGGAAAUUUCAAUGUUAAUGUUAUUUAAAGCAAAGGAUAAGUCCUCACGAUAUUUAGCACUAUAAUGAUUGAAAGAGACUGCCCCAUCAGUGGGCCAUUCACAAGGUGGUCGAUUCUCUGGAAU